AUGGUUUUACGUACCAGACGGCCGACUGUUGCAAUACGUAGUGGUGACGAAGAAGACUUUGAUGAUGAUGGUGAUGAUGAUUACAGUGACAACAACGAUUAUGAUUAUAUCUGCAAAUAUGACGCUAGCCGCAACCAUGGCAGUGGUGAUGACAAGAGCAGUGAUGAUUACAGCUGCACCGAUGAUGAUAGCAACGAUGAUGGUGAUGAUAUUGACAAUGAUGAUGGUGGUGGUGGUGAUGCUACUGAUAAUUUAUGUGCAAUAUGUGACAAUGGAGGGAAAUUGCUAUGCUGUGAAGGACAAUGUAAAAGGUCCUUCCAUCCCAGAGGAAAAGAUGGAAGGGAAUCUAAUUGUGAAACUCUUGGUUUAACUUCUGCACAACUACAGGAAAUUGAUCAUUAUCUAUGCAAGAACUGUGAAUAUAAGCAACACCAAUGUUUCAGUUGUGGAGAUCUUGAGCCAUCUGAUGGGCCAAAUGCUAAGGUGUUCCAAUGCUACAAAGCAUCUUGUGGGCACUUCUACCACCCCGGUUGUAUUGCCAAAUUACUUGAGCCUGAUGAUACUGAUGGAGCUGGCGAAUUGGAGAGGAGGAUUGCUGCUGGGAUGUCAUUUACAUGUCCUGCACAUUGGUGCUCAGAAUGUAGAACGAUGGAAGACAGUACUCAACCAGAACUUUGGCUUGCGGCCUGCAGACGCUGUCCAGUGUCAUAUCACAAAAAAUGUUUCCCAAGAAGCAUUUCCUUUGAGAGAAAGCGUGGCACAAGUGUACGCGCUUGGCACCUGGGUGAUAGAAUUAUGAUUUACUGUGGAAGCCAUAAACUAGAAGCUGAGCUUGGAGCACCUAGCAGAGACCAUAUAAAGUUACCAUCUAGUACAGAAAUGGAUACUGUUGGAACACAUUGCAUUGACCAAAUAAAGUCAACUCCCGUUCCAAAAAUUUAUAGAACAAGAAAUCUUGCUAAGAAGAAAACAGAAGUGACUGGUAAAAGGAAAAUGAACACUGAUCAAGGUUCAACUGGAACUGCGGAGCUGUCAAACAAGGUAUGUCGAGAAGAAGCCGACCAGAUAAAGUUAACUCCCAUUCCAAAAAUUUAUAGGACAAGAAAUCUUGCUAAGAAAACAAAAGUGACUGGUAAAAGGAAAAUGAACACUGAUCAAGGUUCAACUGGAACUGCGGAGCUGUCAAUCAAGGUAUGUCGAGAAGAAGCCGACCAGAUAAAGUUAACUCCCGUUCCAAAAAUUUAUAGGACAAGAAAUCUUGCUAAGAAAACAGAAGUGACUGGUAAAAGGAAUAUGAACACCAAUCAAGGUUCAACAGGAACUGCGGAGCUGUCAAACAAGGUAUGUCGAGAAGAAGCCGACCAGAUCCAAACAGUAGAUAUGAAUAACUUAAGGGAAGAUAAGAUUCCAAAAGGGAGAGGUGUCCUCGAGAAAGAGACCAUCCGUUUAAAUCAAGCACACAGUGAUGAGCUAGAAAAGCUUAUUGUGGAGGAACAGGCUGAAGAGGAUGAAAACAACACCAAAUCUGGAGAAGAGAGAGAAACUCGUAGUAGAGAAAAUACAUAUGGGGAAAAGGAGAAGACUCUUGGGAACAACAGUAAUAAAUUUGGAUUACCUGACGGGCGGUUUACCUUCAGAUCUGAUGAUGACCGAGAAGUUGAUGGAAGCCAUACUUGCCAGCAGGAGCUGAAGAGUCCUCACUACAAUGAUAAUAACAAAGCAACAGGAAUUGAUACUUCAAGUGACAAGUCAGGAAAGAGACAGAGACAGGAGGAACAGGCAACUGAUGGCAACAUGUUGGACUUGGAAAGGAACAAUAAGAAGUUUCACAUGGAAACUGGAAGAGAUGCUCAUCAAAGUCCUCAGCGUCUUCAUAAUCACAAAAAAACAGAUGCUCGUCAAAGUUCUUGUUCCUCAUCAAAAAAUCAUCCUCGGUGUAAUGAUGAUCAGAGAUCUUCAAUGACUUCCGAAUACAAAUCCAGAGAGGGAAGAGGAUCAAGUAGAGAAGAGUGGAGAAAUAAUAUGAGAGAAAAUUCUUAUAGGGGAGGGUCACCCUCGAGGAGAAGAAAUUCUCAAAAUAGAUCAAGGAGACAUUCUCCAGAAGGGCGAAGGACGGAGUAUCGUAACAGUCAUCAUAGAAGCAACAACCAACACAGAUAUGAGCAACAUCGACACGAUGAUUAUUUCAAAUGUCGUGAUGAUUAUUCCAAACGCCGUGAUGUUGAUACUGGUCGAAGGAGGUCGAGUCGUCGUGAGGAUCACUCUAGUGAUGGUGCUAGGAGGAGGUCGAGUCAUCGUGAGGAUCAUUCCAGUGAUGGUGGUAGGAGGAGGUCGAGUCAUCGUGAGGAUCAUUCCAGUGAUGGUGGUAGGAGGAGGUCGAGGCAUCGUGAGGAUCAUUCCAGUGAUGGUGGUAGGAGGAGGUCGAGUCAUCAUGAGGAUCAUUCCAGUGAUGGUGGUAGGAGGAGGUCGAGCCAUCAUGAGGAUCAUUCCAGUGAUGGUGAUAGGAGGAGGUCGAGUCAUCGUGAGGAUCAUUCCAGUGAUGGUGAUAUUGGCGGAAGGAGGUUGAGUCCCCAGCAGUCAGCACUUCCUUCUGGUAAUUUUGGUACUAGUCUCAGUCCCCCUUCACAUCCGACCACUGAAUAUGGUGCUAGCAGAAGGCAUGGUUCCCCUCCAUAUCAGAGAUCUGAACAUGCUGCUAGUGGAAGCCGUGGCCCCUAUAUGAACCCACGAGGAUCAGGCCCUGCAGACUACGAAAUGGAAAGGAGAAGUGUUCCCCUUCACCACGAUGUGCCCAAUGUCGAGGAGUACACUGGUCGACCACUGAAUAUGGUGCUACCAGAAGGCAUUGCUUCCGUUAAUACGUACUCUAUCCUUGGCCCCUAUAUGAACCCACGAGGAUCAGGCCCUGCAGACUACGAAAUGGAAAGGAGAAGUGUUCCCCUUCACCACGAUGUGCCCAAUGUCGAGGAGUACACCGGUCAACCACUGAAUAUGGUGCUAGCAGAAGGCAUUGCUCCCGUUAAUACGUACUCUCUCCGAGGGGAAUCUCCUGGUGCAUAUGGUCCUGGAACAGAUGCCGGCAUGGGCGAAGAAACCACAUUCCGUGGUGGGCGUUUCGGUGAUCAUGGUGUGAGGUCAGAUUAUCCACGAAGCAGCAGCAUGAAUGCAGAGGAUAGGGCUUUUGCUGCAGGGUCCGUUACGGAUAGGUAUGUCCCGCGCCUCGACCGAACGAACCACCCAGUUAGAGUUGAUGGUUAUCUGCCGGAUUAUCCCGUAUGGUAG
rnacentral:rRNA from 1 species